AUGAUUUUGUCUGACCCAAAGGGGGCAGCAGCACCACAAGCAACAGUGCUUCCUUCAGGGGCCCUGACCAUGUGUAAGAUGAAGAAGGAUGCUGGUGCUGGAAAAGGGGUGAGCUGCCAACAGGAGGUGGAGCAGAAUCCUCAGACCCUGAGGGUCCAGGAGGGAGAGAGCACAGCCCUCAACUGCAAUUAUUCAAACAGUGCUUCUAGAAACCUGCAGUGGUUCAGGCAGGAUCCUGGGAAGGGCUUCAUCUUCCUAUUUUACUUGUCCUUGGAGGGAAAGCAGAAUGGAAGAUUAAGAUCCACGAUUAACAGGAAAGAACGUCACAGUUCCCUGCACAUCGAUGAAGCCCAUCCUGGAGACUCGGGCACCUACUUCUGUGGUAUGGAGCCACAGUGA